rnacentral:siRNA from 1 species
UUUAGUCCCAGGGCUAGUGUCUA